CCUCCUUCACCCCGUUCCCCAGCCUGGUCAUGUCAUUCACAGCUCCAUGUCUUGUGCUUUGCUUUUGUCAGGAAAGCCCUUCCCCUUUGGUGGCCAGCUAACCACUCCUCCAGGAAGCCAGUCCCUGAUUCCUAUGCCAGCCCCCAAGGAAGAGUGCUGGAGAGUCAUGAUGAGCAGAUCUGUCACCACGUGAGGAUUUUGUUGUGCUUUUCGAAUGUGGUGGCUAGGAUUUGAUGAUGAGAUAUCACCUGCUAUAGGAUUUGCAGGGAAGCAUGGAGUCUCACUUUGGGCCUAUUUUCUGAGAGGAUGCCCUGAAGAAAACAGAUUCAAGUUUCCUCCCAGAGAAGCCUCUGCUACAGGAGCUGGUAGCAGAAAAAAUAGGAUACAUUCACCAAACAGGUUUGAGUCCCCUCCUGGACACGUGGAAAGGCUAUCUUUUUUUUUUUUUUUUUUUUUUUUUGAGACGGAGUCUUGCUCAGCCACCCAGGCUGGAGUUCGGUGACAUGAUCUCCGUUCACUGCAACC
rnacentral:lncRNA from 1 species